rnacentral:rRNA from 1 species
UGCCCUUAAGUCUGGGGGAUACCAUUUGGAAACAGAUGCUAAUACCGGAUAAAAAGCUACUUUCGCAUGAAAGAAGUUUAAAAGGCGGCGUAAGCUGUCGCUAAGAGGAUGGACCUGCGAUGCAUUAGCUAGUUGGUAAAGGGUAACGGGCUUACCAAGGCGAUGAUGCAUAGCCGAGUUGAGAGACUGAUCGGCCACAUUGGGACUGAGACACGGCCCAAACUCCUACGGGAGGCAGCAGUAGGGAAUCUUCCACAAUGGACGCAAGUCUGAUGGAGCAACGCCGCGUGAGUGAAGAAGGUUUUCGGAUCGUAAAGCUCUGUUGUUGGUGAAGAAGGAUAGAGGUAGUAACUGGCCUUUAUUUGACGGUAAUCAACCAGAAAGUCACGGCUAACUACGUGCCAGCAGCCGCGGUAAAU